AGGAUGAACGCUAGCGGCAGGCNUAACACAUGCAAGUCGAGGGGUAACAGGGAAAAGCUUGCUUUUCCGCUGACGACCGGCGCACGGGUGCGUAACGCGUAUGCAACCUACCUUUUACAGGAGUAUAGCCCAGAGAAAUUUGGAUUAAUCCUCCAUAAUAUCUUUUUCGUGCAUAUGAAAAAGAUUAAAGCUUCGGUGGUAAAAGAUGGGCAUGCGUUUUAUUAGCUAGUAGGUGAGGUAACGGCUCACCUAGGCCACGAUAAAUAGGGGCCCUGAGAGGGGGAUCCCCCACACUGGUACUGAGACACGGACCAGACUCCUACGGGAGGCAGCAGUGAGGAAUAUUGGACAAUGGACGAAAGUCUGAUCCAGCCAUGCCGCGUGCAGGACGACGGCCCUAUGGGUUGUAAACUGCUUUUAUACAGGAAGAAACACUCCCACGUGUGGGGGCUUGACGGUACUGUACGAAUAAGGAUCGGCUAACUCCGUGCCAGCAGCCGCGGUAAUACGGAGGAUCCAAGCGUUAUCCGGAAUUAUUGGGUUUAAAGGGUCCGCAGGCGGUCUAUUAAGUCAGAGGUGAAAUCUUGCAGCUCAACUGUAAAAUUGCCUUUGAUACUGGUAGACUUGAGUCAUUGUGAAGUGGUUAGAAUGUGUAGUGUAGCGGUGAAAUGCAUAGAUAUUACACAGAAUACCAAUUGCGAAGGCAGAUCACUAACAAUGUACUGACGCUCAUGGACGAAAGCGUGGGGAGCGAACAGGAUUAGAUACCCUGGUAGUCCACGCCGUAAACGAUGGAUACUAACUGUUCGAUCU
rnacentral:rRNA from 1 species